rnacentral:misc_RNA from 1 species
GAUGAAGAGCGUAGCAAAAUGCGAUAAGUAAUGUGAAUUGCAGAAUUCAGUGAAUCAUCGAAUCUUUGAACGCACAUUGCGCCCGCCAGUAUUCUGGCGGGCAUGCCUGUUCGAGCGUCAUUUCAACCCUCAAGCACAGCUUGGUGUUGGGACUCGCGUUAAUUCGCGUUCCUCAAAUUGAUUGGCGGUCACGUCGAGCUUCCAUAGCGUAGUAGUAAAACCCUCGUUACUGGUAAUCGUCGCGGCCACGCCGUUAAACCCCAACUUCUGAAUGUUGACCUCGGAUCAGGUAGGAAUACCCGCUGAACUUAAGCAUAUCAAUAAGCGGAGGA